GUUCGUCCAAGGUUUCUCGUAGUCACUAGCCGAACUCUGCUUUUAAGAUUGGUAAGAAUUCUUAGAUGUUUCCUUACUUUUCUACGACUUAUGUUGUUGAUCGAAACACUUUCAUGGUCUAUUCUUCUCACUAAAGUUUCGUCAGUUUCAGUUUUACGCAUCAUACUAUUUUCACUUUGUCUAAACUCACAUCUUCCUCUGUUUUCUUUUUCGAGUGUUCUUGCAGGUUUCUCUCCAAGCAAAUAGCUAGAAAUGGAAGGCUCAUCAAGCUUCACUACAACCAACGCAAAGAAAGAAAAACAGAGAGCGUUCACCCAAUUUCCCCGUGAUUUCAUUAUAUACUAUCAUCGUAAUCAAGAACUCUGCUUUGAGACUCUGCUUUAGGGUUUGGAGAGAGAGAAGAGAUAAAUGAUCCGUCACAGUCACGACAAACGAUCCACGGCAACCUUUGGCGGUGAUAGCGGGCUUGUUGCGCCGGGGUAUCAUCUUGGACUUCCAGUUGACUACUCGCCGUGAUGUUCAGGGUUAGUUUCAUCAAUGCUCUUCUUAUAUGUCUCUCUCAGUCGUU